UCAGAAACUCAAAGGAAUUGACGGGGCCCGCACAAGCGGAGGAACAUGUGGUUUAAUUCGAUGAUACGCGAGGAACCUUACCCGGGCUUGAAAUGCAUCUGACCGGCCUUGAAAGAGGCACUCCCUUCGGGGCAGAUGUGUAGGUGCUGCAUGGUUGUCGUCAGCUCGUGCCGUGAGGUGUCGGCUUAAGUGCCAUAACGAGCGCAACCCUCAUCAUUAGUUACCAUCAGGUAAGGCUGGGGACUCUAAUGAGACUGCCAUCGUAAGAUGUGAGGAAGGUGGGGAUGACGUCAAAUCAGCACGGCCCUUACGUCCGGGGCGACACACGUGUUACAAUGGGUGGUACAAAGGGCAGCUACCUGGCGACAGGAUGCUAAUCUCGAAAACCGCUCUCAGUUCGGAUCGGAGUCUGCAACUCGACUCCGUGAAGCUGGAUUCGCUAGUAAUCGCGCAUCAGCCACGGCGCGGUGAAUACGUUCCCGGGCCUU
rnacentral:rRNA from 1 species